rnacentral:rRNA from 1 species
AACGUAGGAGGCAAGCGUUAUCCGGAUUUAUUGGGCGUAAAGCGUGUGCAGGCGGUUUGGCAAGUUGGAUGUGAAAGCUCCCGGCUUAACUGGGAGAGGUCGUUCAAAACUGCCAGACUAGAGAAUGGAAGAGGGAGGUGGAAUUCCGGGUGUAGUGGUGAAAUGCGUAGAUAUCCGGAGGAACACCAGUGGCGAAAGCGGCCUCCUAGGCCAUUUCUGACGCUAAGACACGAAAGCUAGGGUAGCAAACGGGAUUAGAGACCCCGGUAGUCCUAGCUGUAAACGAUGUAGACUUGGCGUUGGCGGAGUUAAAUCUGCCAGUGCCGUAGCUAACGCGUUAAGUCUACCGCCUGGGGACUACGACCGCAAGGUUAAA